AAUAUACUAAAUAAAUGCUUCUGAGGAUUCUCUUUAUCAUAUUUGUUUUCCAUAAAAUUUAUUCACUCAAGCUCAUAUAAGUCUUAUAUAACCUAGUUGUUUUUUAAUCCUGCAUGGAAGCUUCCAGCGCAGUCCAUUAGUGGGACAAUAAAAUUAGAGAGUAGAUGCAUCUGGUGGGGAGUUCGCCUAACCUUCUCUUUCAUUAUAUCAUUGCCACCAACAAUGAAGUAACAGACAUGUCCCAGUUUUGCUUUCUUAUCUGUUCCAAGCCAUCUUGGAUGUGUAAAACGGUAGAGGUAACGCGGACAGAGAGGAUAAUAGUCGCUUUCCCAUUGGCGGAGAAUCCUUUUGGCACUGACUAAUUAGUCAGAUGCUGCAUACGCCCAACAGAGAAGGUGUUGUUGUUGGUUUCUAACAAGACCUACGAAAUCCUUCCAUGAUGUGCUAGCCAAAACAGAUGAUACCUAGCCAAAAGAUUUAGCAAAAGAUUUAAGAAAUUCUCAACAUAUAUAUAUUAGAGUUUGUUUGUAAAGUAGUACGUUUCUAAAACAAAAUUAUAAAA
rnacentral:sRNA from 1 species